rnacentral:sRNA from 1 species
UUUUUGUUAAGUUAUAAUCCAAUUUAUAUUUACCAAAUUUUCGCCGUGUUUUUCCUACUUUUCCGGCGUAUUUAUUACUAAAUUGGUUAAAAAAAUUAAAACUAUAAAUUAUUUACGCGGUACAAAUAAUAUAUAGCAGGCUUUCCACUUUAUAAUUUAAAUAGUCAAGAAAAAUUACUCGGGUUAUUAAAAUUUCGAAAACAUUAUUCUUAGUUUGAAUAAUUAGCAUUUGGUUUUUGAAACUAUUUUCAAUUUGAAACUUACUUUAAUAUAAAUUAUAAAAGGUAAGGAAAUUAUAUUAAAUGUAGUAAAUUACAAAAUGUUCUGUUAGUUAAAAGUUAAACAAAUAAUCGUACGUUUUUAAAGGUAUAGUUCACGUUGUAUAAUUAACGCAAAAUCUUUAACCGCUUUUUGGGUUUUUAAUAAAAUUUACCUGUUUGCCUGCCAAAAGUUUGUUGGAUUUAAUAAAUUUUCUAUUUUGAACUUAUAAAAGGUUAGUUUAAAUGCGCGGUUUACCUGUUUAUACGCGGAUAAAUUAUUAUAAUUAUAGGGUUUGUUUCUUAACAUUUAAUCUAUACUAAAGGUUUUUCCAAAAUCCGCUCUCAACUAAUAUAUUUAUAUAUAUAUUAUUGAUAAA